rnacentral:lncRNA from 1 species
GUCCACUUAUAUGUUCCACCCACCCAUGAGUUCGCUCACAGGGAGUGGAGUGUGUAGGGGAUGUGUUAUGUGUUAUUGUGGAGGAUCUAAUAUGUGUGCUUAUGGUAUUUAGUGUAUAGGGUAACCAGUUUGUGUAGGUGAUGCAGUGUGUUUGUGUGUAGUAGAAGCAGUGUGUAUUUGUGUAUAAGGGAUGUAUUAUGUGUUUCUGGUUGUGUGUAAGGGAUACAUUGUGUGAAUCUGUGUUUGUAUGCAUAAGGGAUGCAAUGUGUGUGUCUGUAUGUGUGUGCAUUGAGUGUAAGAGAUGCAUUGUGUUUCUGUGUGUGUG